rnacentral:rRNA from 1 species
UACGUAGGACCCAAGCGUUAUCCGGAGUGACUGGGCGUUAAGAGUUGCGUAGGUGGCUCAUUAAGCGAGUAGUGAAAUCGUGUGGCUCAACCAUACGGCUAUUACUCGAACUGGUGAGCUCGAGAAUGGUAGAGGUAGCUGGAAUUUCUAGUGUAGGAGUGAAAUCCGUAGAUAUUAGAAGGAACACCAAUGGCGAAGGCAGGCUACUGGACCAUUUCUGACACUGAGGCACGAAAGCGUGGGGAGCGAACCGG